CUUUCCCUCUUUCUUUAGGCCUAACACAUGCAAGUCGAACGGCAGCACAGUAAGAGCUUGCUCUUACGGGUGGCGAGUGGCGGACGGGUGAGGAAUACAUCGGAAUCUACUUUUUCGUGGGGGAUAACGUAGGGAAACUUACGCCAAUACCGCAUACGACCUACGGGUGAAAGCAGGGGAUCUUCGGACCUUGCGCGAUUGAAUGAGCCGAUGUCGGAUUAGCUAGUUGGCGGGGUAAAGGCCCACCAAGGCGACGAUCCGUAGCUGGUCUGAGAGGAUGAUCAGCCACACUGGAACUGAGACACGGUCCAGACUCCUACGGGAGGCAGCAGUGGGGAAUAUUGGACAAUGGGCGCAAGCCUGAUCCAGCCAUACCGCGUGUGUGAAGAAGGCCUUCGGGUUGUAAAGCCCUUUUGUUGGGAAAGAAAAGCAGCAGGUUAAUACCCCGCUGUUCUGACGGUACCCAAAGAAUAAGCACCGGCUAACUUCGUG
rnacentral:rRNA from 1 species